CCUGCUGGUGUGGUGUAGUGUGGCGACUUCAGACUGUUGUAUGUUAAAUGCACACCGCACUACACAGCUUAAAUUGAAAUUGAAGAAGAAAAAAAAACUAAAAUUUGAAUUUUGUACGAGCAGUGUUGUGUAGAGUGCAAGUGAGCUGAAAAAUACCUACUAAUCAUAUCUAUAAAAACUCAUACAUUCGUGGCACAGGCAUCAGUCAGUAUCUGCAGUUGCUUAAACAACAGUAUCUGAAGACUUUCUUUUUGCAUCUUUUAUUUUUGUAAAACUACUUAAAACAACAAUCAAUCAACAUGCCUUGCCCCUGUGGAACCGGUUGCAAAUGCACUUCUCAAACUCAAACUGGCAAUUGUGGUUGCGGCGCCUCUUGCAAAUGCGGAUCAGGCGGUAGUUGCGACAAGGGCAGCUGCGGCAAGUAAAGUGCAUAUACUACAUUCGUAUAUUUUGUCUCUUUGAUUGGAUCGAAUUGUAUUUAAUUAAGGCUAAUUUAGUUUAUUGUUUAGAAUUUUUAUUGCAUAUCAAAUGUAUUAAUAUUAAGUGAAAUUUAUUUGACUUUAUUAUUAUCGUCAAUAAAAUACAAAAAAAAAUACAUAUGUAUUUGAAAACAUAAA